GAUGAACGCUGGCGGCGUGCUUAACACAUGCAAGUCGAACGAUGAAGCCCAGCUUGCUGGGUGGAUUAGUGGCGAACGGGUGAGUAACACGUGAGUAACCUGCCCUUAACUCUGGGAUAAGCCUGGGAAACUGGGUCUAAUACCGGAUAGGAGCGUCCACCGCAUGGUGGGUGUUGGAAAGAUUUAUCGGUUUUGGAUGGACUCGCGGCCUAUCAGCUUGUUGGUGAGGUAAUGGCUCACCAAGGCGACGACGGGUAGCCGGCCUGAGAGGGUGACCGGCCACACUGGGACUGAAACACGGCCCAGACUCCUACGGGAGGCAGCAGUGGGGAAUAUUGCACAAUGGGCGAAAGCCUGAUGCAGCGACGCCGCGUGAGGGAUGACGGCCUUCGGGUUGUAAACCUCUUUCAGUAGGGAAGAAGCGAAAGUGACGGUACCUGCAGAAGAAGCACCGGCUAACUACGUG
rnacentral:rRNA from 1 species